rnacentral:rRNA from 1 species
CUUGGUCAUUUAGAGGAAGUAAAAGUCGUAACAAGGUUAUGAACAGGUGAACCUGCGGAAGGAUCAUU